UCAAAUUUAUGUAACAUCAUUUUUAAAAUUAAAGUAUUGUUAACGAAAGAUAAAUUAGAGAAUAUUAUAAAAUAAUUAUCAGUUUAUAAUAUGUGUACCUACAAAUAAUUAAAUAAAUGUAGCUUAUUAAAACUAUUAAACUCAUGGCUAUUCUAAGUCAUGUUAUUAUCCACAUUAACCAAUACUGAAUAAGGACAUAAUAAGGAGACUUUGUAACUUUUAUUAGCUGUUUUAUGUUUAACGUUAGCGUGUAUUAUCGCUAUUUCCAAGAAAGUUGAUAGAAUGAUAGCAUUAAGAGGACGUUAUACCCACACGUGGUGUGGUGUCCAUGUCUUACUAACGUACAUCAUAUCAAAUUUGCUUUCAGCAGAACAUACUUUAUGACGUUACCUUUAGUAUUAAAGUAAAUUUACUUAUUAUCAAAUUUAAAGCUAAGAAUAUUAUGAACAUUUAAAAGUUGUAAUAUUUUACAUAGCUAUAACUCACUUUAAAAUGAUAAUAUCAAUAAAAGCAUAUGACAUUUUCUAGAUAAUAUUCUUACCUUUAAAUUUGAUAAUAGGUAAAUUUUCUCUGAUAAAGCUAACAUCACAAAAUGUGUUCGGCUGAAUGCAAAUUUGGUAUGAUGUACGUUAGUAAGACAGAGACAACACAUGCGGGUAUAACGUACCUUAAUAUGUUAUCUUUCUAUCAUUGCUCAGCUUUACUAUUGAAUAGAUUUAUAGAUUAAUCUAUCACGGCCUUACUAGUAUGUAUAUCGUAAUUAAGGAACAAUCAACAAUGGAGUAAUAUUAAACAGUAUGCAUUCCUACAAUAUUUUGAUGCUAAUACAAAUUUUUGUGGUUGAAAUAGAUCAGAACAGCCAUAAGAGAAAUUAAGUUAGGAUGAUUCUAUGUGAGGCCACCAUUAAGUUUCUGAUGAGAAAAUCUUAUAACUAUAUAAUUAACAUUAAGUGGACGCAACAUCUGAAUGUGUUGUCUCCGUCUUAUAAGUGCGGAACAUAGCAAAUUUACACUUAGCAGAUCACGUAUAGCUCCGUUAGUUUAAAAAUUAGAGUGAAUUGACCUAUUUGAAAUUUGAUGGUAAGAACAUUAUCUGUGUUUGUAUGUUGGUUUUUUUUAUGAUUAUUCAGUUUUUAAGUGAGUUAUGAGCAUUUUUAAUUUAUACUAUCUUAUAUACGCAUAACUUGUAAAAAAAUUAAACUAUUGUAAAAACCAACAUUCAAACACAGAUAAUUUUUUUACCAUCAAGUUUCAUAAUAGGUCAAUUCACUCUUAAUUUUUAAACUAACGGAGCUAAAUGUGAUCUGCUGAGCGUACAUUUUCCAUGUUAUGUACUUGUAAGACGGAGACAACCAGUGGCAUGACCAGGAAUAUUCAAUGCGGGGGAUAUAUGUUAUAAGUUUUUAAGUUAUCAUUAGGGCUCGUAAGUUCAUGCUCUAAAAAAUGCAUAAAUUAGCAUACAUUCAAGCUCUAAACAUUGACAAAAUAUGCACUAUGUAAAAAUUAUAAUUAUUUUGAAAUAAUAAGAUAAAACUUCAAUUAAUUUUAAAAGUAUUUUAUUCCUUUUAAUUUUUAUACAUGAAAAUAGUCAAAAUAAAUAAAAAUAAAUCAAAACUAAUACUAUAAAUUUGUAAACAGGAAAAUAAAUAAAAUAAGGAAUAAAAAAGAAUCUAAAUAUUAAAAUAAAUAAAUACAAUAUUUUUUUUAUGUAAUAAUAUGCGCUAAUAACCCUAAAAAAUCUACUAUAUGACAAAUAUGCUUUUACACCCAAAAUAUGCAAAAACAUGCAGUAUUAACUUUAUAUAAUUAUUACUAUUGUUAUGAAUGGAUUUGUAUCUCAGUUAGCAUGUUUUCUUGUGUAGCAAAAAAUACAUACAAUUGCAUGAACUUACGAGCCUUGGUAAAACAUUUAAAUUAAUUAUGGUGAUCCAAACACAAAAAUUGUUAUAAAUGUGUACAUUCAUGUAUAUUGAGUAUUGUUUUACUAUAGUAAAAAUUAAUUUAAAUUGCCACACACUAUGUACAAAAUUGUUUAAUUAAAAUGAUAUCAUUAAAGUAAAAACAUUUAUAACAUCUAUUAAAAUAUACAAAAGAAAUAUAUAGUUCUUAAAAAUAAAUUAGCUAUUCCAAACGGAAAUUUAACGACCUAGCUUUUUUACUCAUCUCAUUUAUGAAUUAAUCUGUAUUUAUUUUAAUGUUUCGAAGAAUGUUCAUCAGAGCUAAACCGUUUAAUCUUGCUUGUCCAAUAGAAUUUCUUAUAUAAGUCUUUAAACUCUUUAAUGUGGAAAAUUACUGUUCACCGGUUAGUUUUUUAGUAAUAUAUGUAUGUGUGAAAAUAUCAUUAUGUCACAUUAACCAAAUGCAUCAAAGGGCACUUUUUGAAACAUAAUCUCAUUACACUUUUCUUGCCAUAAAUAUAAUUCUCCAGUUAUAACUAAGUUACUAUUAUUCAAAUCCUCUUGAUAUGUAUCAAUGAGAUAUUUAAUGUCUUAAUCAGUUUCUGAGUGAAUUUUAUAGCCAAGUAGAAUACAACUGAAACUUUAUAAUAAUUUAUUAUGUUUUAUAAAUUGAUCAUGUAACUUCAUCUUCAGCUGUUUUAUUUGGUGAAGUAACUAAUUAAUCUAAGAGUUAUUGUAUCAAUAUUCAAAUCUUGGCACUAUUAUUCAAUUUUUAGAAAUCCAAUAUGAAAAUAAUUGACUACAUUUUAUCUAAAUCUUUGUAAUAUAUUUUGAACGUCUCCUGCUACUUUUAAAGCUGUUACCAAAUCAAUAUUUUCUGUUUGAAGUUGGCGACUGAGUGGCAUACUUACAGAGAAAACUUUUCCAAUGAUGUGUGUUGUUAUAAUAAAUUCUGGUUAUUCAAUAA